rnacentral:miRNA from 1 species
AUUCCGUAAUCUCGUAUACCCCGU